UCAUGUUUUUAUAGGUCGGAUUUUAGAAAUUUACCCCAUCUAUCAAUUGUCUAAGCCGGCUUUGGAUGUAACAAUAUCUUUAUAUAUAAAGUUGAUUUGUGUGAUGCACACAGCCGUCCACGACACCAAAAUAGGUUGGGGGUUUUUUUGACACGUGUCGGCUCGGUGGGACGUCUGUGUAACCCACGCUCUCCCUUCUUUACGAGCGCGUCGUGUGGUGUGUGCACUCUCCCUUGCUCGCGCGUCACGGUGAAGCACGAUUUUGGGCAUCACAGACAAAUUGUUUGGGCUUAUGUCUAUUAAAAUAGGCCCAUAAGUUUUUAGGGUUAUUUGCCCCUGCGUCAUUCUUCUUCUUCCGUGCCUCCAACCUGCAAGAGAAACCAUAGAAACCAAAACGUCCCAGGAUCAUAACUCUUACAUUUAUUCUGAGUUUUCCAUUCAAUAAUCCACUCUUCAUGCAUAAUGAUUUCGAUCUAUCUCUUCGUUCACCCUCAAACCGCCUACAACGCCAUCUAUAAAUAUCGGCCCUCACUUCCCUUCACCUCGCAUCUGAAACGAUUUGCUCAAACAUACGAUCUCAUAGAAGCAACAUAUUCAGAUGGCGAAUUCAUACACUCUGCUUGCGAAUUUGAGAGCCGGUCAAUGCUCUAAUACUGCUGAGGUCCGCUUGCUGAGGUUCUGGGAGGCCUGAAAUAUCAACAAAGGAGGGGAGCUGAUGAGUAUUGAGAUGCUGCUCAUCGAUGAGGCUGAUACCCUGGUUUAAGGGUGUGUUCCUGCUGUUCACCAACGUAAGUUCAGGGAACGUCUUACUGAAGGAUCAGUUUACACCCUCAGCCGGUUUGACGUUACACGGAGCAACCCGAAAUUCAAGUUGACUGAUGGCCCUGUCUCCAUCCGUUUCAAUGAAGGAACUGAUUUUGAGAAGCUUGUUGCCACUGCUAGAACCAUACCUACAGAACAUUUUCGCUUCCGACCACAUGAACAGAUUAUUGAGUUAGCAAACACCUCCAGACAGCUCCUAGGUAUUUCUUUCCGUAAUAUAAGUUUUUUUUUUUAUCAUUUCACACGGUAACGUGAUCAUACUAUAAUACCUCAGAUGUUAUUGGGGAGGUAUUCCCUGGUCUUGGCACAGCUGCGCAAAACCCCUUGGUCUUAAAACACCUAAAUCUCUGAUCUCUCACCGUCCAAUCACUGUCAUCGCUUACCAUGUACCAAAAUCUGAUGAACCUUUGCGUUUCUGCCGGUAACUUGGAGGCGCAUUACUUAUGUGGAAUGCAAGAAUCUUCUUACGAGAACAUAGCUGCUGGGUCAGAUUGCAGCACAAGGUUCGUAUGAUAGUGCUAUUUACCUUUAUGGUAUAAUUAUGUUAUGUAGAGGAGAUCCGGACAUCGGGAUACCACUAUUGGAUUCACUUGGAUGGAGAGAAAACAAAGCACGGUCCGACGCUUGCUGGCAAAACAUCAAAACAUCUCUCCAUGGAGUAAGAGUCAAAAGGUUUGAGAUUUACAUCACAACUUAUAGGGCCACAAGGCCUACAAUAAAUUGUCACAGAAACGACAUUGCUAUCCGUUGUGAGACAUGUUAUUAUUUUAAGCAAAUGAAAAAAAUUGUUUUCAUUAUCUAAACAAAUGAUGUAACUGCUGCGGUCCCUAUAUCGACUCCAAUAUUAUAAAAUUUAAAUAAAGUUUCCCUUACUAAUA